AUGAAAUAUUAGUUCUGGUUGCUAGUGCAGAUCUGGACUCGGAUCAAGGGUGUCGAGAGGGUCCUGGGUCCUGUUCCUUUGCCUUUCAAAAAGACUUUUUACGGAUUGAGAAUUUUUAAAUACCACUAGGGGAAAGGUGAAGGUUCUUUGCAGCCUUCAGUGUUGAAAUGGACGAAGGUAAGGAAGGCAAAUCAUUUUAAGACGAAAUCUCCGAUUUUUUAAAAAAGGAGGAAAAAAGCAGGGUGGCUAAGGAUAAAGAAAGAGGACUUGAGAAAAUGUGGAGAAUGAAAAACAGGAGAGCAGCGAGCAAAAGCAAAGAUCCAGAGUUCAAAGAGACUGGCAGAAGGAAAUAGCUGCGGGCUGAGUGCUGAAGAGGGGAGGGACUGACGGCUGCCGGCCGGUAGGAGCGCGGAGCUGCGCUGCGGCGGCCCAGGAGCUGCUGCGGUUCCCGCUGCUCGGGGAGCAGGCGGUGUGUGCGCGGCUGCGAAGUCGAGGUUGAAACUGCACCGCCAAGGCGCGCUCCUGCUGUGUCUGGAGCUCCGGCGUCUCCUCUGCCUCCCAGCUCAGCGCCUCCCACCCUCCUUCCCUCCUCCUCUUCCCAGCUCCCCCGCCCUCUGCUGCUCGCAGCCUCGCCAGUGAGAAUCUACUGUAAGUGUGAGUUGCUUCGACGAAGUCACACACCCACGGAGGGAAGUAAUCUGGAGGCUGCCUUGAAGUCUGAAAGCAGGUUCUUUUUAUUAUAAUGUGCUCCGAAUGGAUGAAGCAAAUUUAGAGGAAGAGCAGUGAAUCAGUUUCUCAGUUUGGCAAAAAGCCUCACGGGCAUGUACAGGAAGCCUUCCUGCAGACAUCCACAGUGAACAAGUCUAAGGACAAUAGCUUUCGUUGGCCCCCAAUAGAAGGCAUUUUUAGUGAUGUGUGGCCUCACCACUUAAAUCCAGUUUAUUGAAUCUGAAGUGAUUUGCUCCUCUUUCUGGACUACACAAUAAACACCCUCCAACGUCCCCAGCCAUGCUCUUCCCAUCAUUUGGCUGAAAGGGGAGGAAUUCAAGGCCUUAGAGUGGGGAAGCUACAAUUUGGAAGAAUCCUGGAAGCACAGAUUACCCUGUGAAGCAGCAUCCCCAUGAGGGUCUCUUUCUUCUGUGAUAUAAGCAAGAAAUAAAUGAAUUGUGCAAAUCCA
rnacentral:lncRNA from 10 species